GCACUUCUAAAGAGUCCCACAAUAGGACGAAACGGCCGUUUAGUGC
rfam:Schistosoma curassoni strain Dakar, Senegal genome assembly, scaffold: SCTD_scaffold0001606